rnacentral:tRNA from 1 species
GAUUUCGUGGUGUAGUGGUCAGCACGCUCCCCGCGUAACCGAGAGGUCCGUGGUUCGAUUCCCGGUGAAGGCG